rnacentral:rRNA from 1 species
CAGCAGCCACGGGAAUACGUAGGUGGCAAGCGUUGUCCGGAAUUAUUGGGCGUAAAGCGCGCGCAGGUGGUUUAAUAAGUCUGAUGUGAAAGCCCACGGCUCAACCGUGGAGGGUCAUUGGAAACUGUUAAACUUGAGUGCAGGAGAGAAAAGUGGAAUUCCUAGUGUAGCGGUGAAAUGCGUAGAGAUUAGGAGGAACACCAGUGGCGAAGGCGGCUUUUUGGCCUGUAACUGACACUGAGGCGCGAAAGCGUGGGGAGCAAACAGGAUUAGAUACCCCCGUAGUCCCUGUCUCUUAUAC